GAAUUAUAUCUAAUGCUUUGCAAAAAUAAAAAUAAUUAAAGAUGCUUAACACAAUUUAAUUAACUAACAUAUCGUUAUAACAUUAUCAAACAUUCAAGAGCAUAUAAAAAUGAAUUACAAUAGAAAGAUGAAGUUACUAAUAUUUCCCAACGUCAUUAUCUUUCAUUCCAACUCGAUUUUAUGAGUUUACAUGGUCCGAAAAUUACCUGGCCAGCAGAAAGAAGAACAAAUACAGGAGAGUCAGCUCUUUCCAAAAUCAACAGAAAAACAAUUAAACGGGCAGCAACAAUAGCAAAAGACAACGACAACCAGCAGAUUCAAACCCAAGAAAAUAAACUAGAAAUACCCCAGCAAAACAGUACAAUUAUGUAACUCCAGAAAAAUCUUUCAAAACUAUUCUAUUUUCCUUAAACAAGUUUUUCACUUAAGAAUCAACUCACAAAAGCUGCUAAGGGAUAUUAUAGCUACUGAUUUUUUUUUCUUUUUUGUGUGUAGAGCUCUCUCAGUAAGAUGGAGUGUCCUCCUUCUUUUUCUUUUCCUCAGAAACAACCAGCUAUUUCAAGAUUAAAAAUCAAUCUUUCUGACAGAUUUUUCUACAAAAUCUGCUCUUAAAUUCAAAAGGCCAGACUUUCUGGUUCAAUCUUGUCAAGUAUUUCAAAUAAAAUAUGCUCUCCACUAUUCAAAGACAAACUUUUAUUCAAACACUGUCCAAAUGUCUACAUUUUCUUACCAAACAAUUUGACUUUUGAGUGUUGUACUCAAAGAGUCUUGAAGUAGUAAAUAAACAACCAAACAAGUACCAUAUACUCUUAAGUAUUUUUCACUACCUCACUUUUAUCAACACAAAACUAUUUUACUACUUCGACAAGAGCAAAAACAGAAAAUUUAACAUUUCAAACUUCAAAAACUAAUGCUAAAAUAAUUAAUAAUAAACAAAAAUAAAAUCUGAAAAAAUAAAAAUAAAAUAAAAAAAAUCAUCCAUGAAAAAGAAUAGGAUUUUUACCAUUUUACAAUUCAAGUGGCCGAAAAAAUGGUGGUAUACCAAAAGAGGUGUUCGGGGAGGUUGCCAGAAUUUGGCCGGAUUUUGGCCGCCAGAUUUUUGGAGUAGAAAUUGGAAUCAAUAGGUAGGUCUUGAGGAGUUCUAUCCAUUGAUGUAGGUAUUGUGGGAUGGUAGUGGCCGGAGCUUCAAGAAUUUGAGGCAAAAAGUGGCAGUUAAAAUUUCCUAGAUCUAAGAUUCAAGGAGUUUUAGGGGAUUUUGAAGGAUUUGGUUUGGAGAUAUGGAAAGAGAAGGUGUUGGAGAUUAUAUGGUGAAAUUUUGGGGCGGAUUGGAGGUCGGACGCCAUCGGUGGGGGAUUUCCGGCGGCGGCAAUGGGGCGGCGGCGGCGGCUUGGGGGGAGAGAGAAGAG
rnacentral:lncRNA from 1 species